rnacentral:rRNA from 1 species
AGCGAACGCGGGCGGCAGGCCUAACACAUGCAAGUCGAACGAAGUCUUCGGACUUAGUGGCGGACGGGUGAGUAACACAUGGGAACGUGCCUUUCGGUUCGGAAUAACUCAGUGAAAUUUGUGCUAAUACCCACUGCGCCCUUCGGGGGAACUAUUUAUCGCCUUUAGAGCGGCCCGCGUCUGAUUAGCUCGUUGGUGAGGUAAAGGCUCACCAAGGCGACGAUCAGUAGCUGGUCUGAGAGGAUGAUCAGCCAAAUUGGGACUGGGACACGGCCCAAACUCCUACGGGAGGCAGGAGUGGGGAAUCUUGCGCAAUGGGCGAAAGCCUGACGCAGCCAUGCCGCGUGAAUGAUGAAGGUCUUAGGAUUGUAAAAUUCUUUCACCGGGGACGAUAAUGACGGUACCCGGAGAAGAAGCCCCGGCUAACUUCGUGCCAGCAGCCGCCGCCGUAA